rnacentral:rRNA from 1 species
UACGUAGGGGGCUAGCGUUGUCCGGAAUCAUUGGGCGUAAAGCGCGUGUAGGCGGCCCGGUAAGUCCGCUGUGAAAGUCGGGGGCUCAACCCUCGAAUGCCGGUGGAUACUGUCGGGCUCGAGUGCGGAAGAGGCGAGUGGAAUUCCCGGUGUAGCGGUGAAAUGCGUAGAGAUCGGGAAGAACAUCGGUGGCGAAAGCGCUCUACUGGACCGCAACUGACACUCAGGGACGAAAGCUAGGGGAGCGAAUGGG